AACUACAUGUGGAGAACAAGUUUUAAACAUAUUUCAACAUUUCUGCUGCUGAAUUUUUAAAAAUAAAGAUAAAAUAUUUAUUUUUAACCCACUUUUAAUCAUAAUAUUUUAAAUCUUAUUUUUAACCAUGAUAAACAACAGUGAUGAAGAUUAUGUGAAGAACAAAGAUCAUGCACGUGAAGAAGGUGGAUCAAAUUAUAUCAAGAAAAUCAAGCUAAAAAGGGGAG
rnacentral:lncRNA from 1 species